UCUCGUGCCUCUCUGAAGCUGCAGCACGUUUCUGCAGAUGGGCAUAUUUUGGGCUGUUGUAGUUUGGCCAUGUUGGCCACCGUAGUUUCCAGCUGAGUCAUUUAUCAGUUUGAAUAAACACAGCUGACAGUCAGGUGUGAGCCUAACUGAGGGUGUUGUUAAGGUGAAGGAUCAGCGCUGAUAAAUGUUGGACAUGAGAUCAUUUUGUUUCUUCCCUGAAAUUAGUCAUGACCACGAUAACACUGCUUUUUAUCUGGAUCAUAAAAACAAACACCUGAGGAGGACACACCUGAGGAGGACACAGCUGAGGAGGACACAGCUGAGGAGGACACACCUGAGGUGGACGGCAGAGAGACUGUACAGAGUUGUUUCUGAGAAAUGAGAUAAGGUUACAUAACACUGUGACAUAAACACACACAACACUGAUCCCUCUUCUUGUACCUGCCUGCAGAGGAACGUCCAAAUAUGGUCAGACAGGUGUGACGGCAGAUUAACAGAGUUUAUCAUCCAUGCUGCAGAUGGCAGAAUGUUAGAGUCUGACGCCAGAGGAAGAAGAAGAAGAAGAAGAAGGAGAAGACAGAGAAGGAGGACGAUGCUUCAGAGGAGGGCAGUGCUGGUCCGUGAGGCUGGGGAGGAGACGCCAAGAGACUCCACCGCACCCUCAGCAAGCUGGGCUUCAGGGUGGACAUACACAGUGACCUCAGCGAGGACGAGAUCUACGAGCUAAUCUUUAAAGUUUUGACUUGUCAUACCAGAGGAAUUACUGGUCGAACCAACAGCAUUACUGAUGGCUUCGCUCCAACCGAGUGUCAGAGUCAGCAUCCAAGAACCAGGAAUGAGUUUCAGCAUGUGUGCCUCUUUAUAAACUGAGCCGUCCUGAUCAGCUGAUCACAGAGUGGACUAAAACACUGUUAACAACUCGAUCGACAGAUUCUGCAGAGGAAAACCUGUGAGCACGUUCAGUCUGCAGGAAGCUCCUGAAAAUGGCAGCAAUAAGAAGAAGCAAGAGUCUAGAACUAGACCUUAAUUUUUCUAAAUCAACAAAGAAUCUUAUGAGACAUGCAGCUUCAUUCAUCUCAGCGUUUGACGUCAGUGAACCAAGGAUGAGACAGAUUGUAGGAGAGUUUCACAAGAUCGUUGAUGAAGUGAAAAAGAUGCAGGAGAAGACAGAUGAACAGAGAAGAGCAGGAGCUUUUGUUGGAGGAGUAGGAGGAGUACUCGGACUCAUGAUCCUUGCAGCUCCGUUCACUGGGGGGGCGAGCUUAUUGGCAGGACUAGCUGCUGCUGCUGGUGGUGGUGCUGCUGCUGCUGCUGCUGCUGCUGUUGGUGGUGGUGCUGUUGUUGUCGAGGCAAAUUUAACAAAAAAAAAAGAAGAGAACAAAAGUGUACAUAAAGUCGAAGAGCUGGGGAAAGAAUUCAUGGAGAUUGUUGAAUCGCUGAAGAUCAACCUGGAAGAAAUAAAGAUGACAUGUGAAGAGCUGAAGACAACAUCUAUGAAAGUUCAGGCUGCAGUCACUCUGUCAGACAUGGUGGACUUUCAGAGGAUGCUUACAGAAGUGUCUGAGCUGGCCGAGACAAGUGGAGAAGUUUUGGGUGUGGCAGUAGCAGUGAUGGCAGUAAUGCGUGAUCUGUUAGUGCUCAUUGUGAGUGUCUUCAGAGUGACUGCGACUCCUGAAGAGGAUCAGAAGUUAAGAGACUCCAUCAGACAGUCAGCUGAUCAGUGUCAGAAGGUCGUGAAUGGGUUUGAACAGAUGAAGGUGGAACUGAGACACUUCACAAGACGUUGGAGAUACAAGACAAGGUCUCGUUCAAUCACCGUGUGACGUAAUGUCUCAUCAGAUCUGCAGUUUGAGAUGAAGUGUGUAAAUGUGUCCGAUCCUGUGUGUCUGAACGAUCUCCUCAGUGGUGGAAUAUGAUAUUUAGCCUGAAUAUGAUGAUGACUGUACAGAUGCUGGCUUUGAACUGAAGGACUGGUCAGACCACUUUGUGUCAGUCCAAACUCCUCACAGAGGGGCUCCCCCACAGAGGGUUCAAACCAGGAACCGUCUUGCUGUGAGGCAACAAUGCUAACCACUGCUCCACCGUGUCGCAUCGAGUUCAGAAUGAAGUUUAUUAGUCUGAACAUUAAAUAUCUCGUCUUUGGACCGGGUUGGAAUUGGUGUUGUAUGUAUUUUAUAUCUCACAUAAAGUUUAUACACUGUGUUUAUACUGUACCUGUGAUGUCAUCACUUCUACCUGCACUGUUUAUUUUGCUGACUGUAACUGCUGCACAUGUUCAUAUCUUAUCCAUAUUCAUAUCUCCCUCUGACUGUGAAUUCUAUAUACCGUAAAACUUCUAUUAGUAGCUUUGAUUUGCUUAUCACUGAAGUCAACAGGCCUGUAUUUGUUACAGGCCUAAAGUUAAUUCCUUUCACACAAAACUGUUGCUCAGCAAAGAUCAGGAAAUACAAUCAAACUGUUUAUAUGAACCAGUCUGAAUGUUUUAAUUAUGUGUUGUAUCACAACGCUUGUUUGACGGCACUCAAGGAUUUCGGCAUCCGACACAACAAAACUUUAUCCUCUUUAAACAAUAUUUAAUAUUUUUAUGAAACCCCUUUUGAUCUGAGGACACUUACAGACUGGAGGAACAUGAAUAACGUACAGGGUGAUCCAGGAACGGACACAUAUUCUGACUUUAUGACAGCAACAGAGGAAACGUAGGGAGUCACCACUUGUUUUUUCAUCAUGCUGGUAAAUCUGAAAGAAUUUAGUCAUCCUUGGCGCUCAUGGUUUCAGUGAAAUGAACUCAGCCAAGCUAACGAUGUGUAGCAUCUCCAUACUGACAAAAAUUAAAUAUGUAUGCUUGCAUGUGUGAUCUAAACAGAUAACCAACAUUAGCUCAAGUAGGUAGCCAAAAAAUGUGGUUUAUACAUCCAAAGAACUUUUGUCAACAAGAACUGCUGGCAGCCAGACCAGGCCUCUAAUUGAGACAGGCCUUUAUUUGUCUAAACGUGUAGCCACACCGGGCUGUGAAAGGGUCUGGGCAUUUAGUAAGUUUUACGGUAUUGUAUAUAUUGUUUAAUAUUUCAUUAUCUCAGUACAUGGACUCUUUGCAGUGACAUUAAAGUUGAAUUUAAUCUCAUAUUCAGUGUUGAUCUCAGCUUCACCAUGUACACCUGAACUAAUCAAUACUUUUAUAUUAAUGAUGGAUCAGAUGACUGUGUGUGGUCAUGUGAAAUGUUUCACUCACAGAGACAAACUCAGAUAAUUAACAUGUUGUAGCAUAUUUUAUUUGUGUGUUUAUGGUGUUCCCCAAGGCUCCAUUUUAGGCCCAAUUAUAUUUUCACUAUACAUGCUUCCAUUAGGCUCUAUACUAAGGAAAUACAAUAUGUCUUAUCACUGUUAUGCAGAUGAUUCCCAGUUAUACCUCCCUUUGAAACCAUCAGAUCCUUGCAGCAUUAAUUCACUAUAACUCUGUAUUAAUGACAUAAAAUCUUGGAUGGCAUGAAGCUUUCGCCAGCUGAACCAUGACAAAACUGAGGUCCUCACCUUUGGCCUUACAGACACUUCUGCCUCUGUUACCAGUGCUCUUGGUCCUCUGUCUUCACGUUUAAAAUCUCACAUAAAGAAUCUUGGUGUCAUCUGACGCUGGUCAAAAAAGUUAAAGUUAAAAACAGAGGUGACAGAGCUUUUUCAGUUGUUGGUCCGAAACUGUGGAGCAGCCUGCCACAAACAGUUAGAUCCUCACCCUCUUUAAAUACAUUCAAAGCCCGGCUAAAAUCCCAUCUCUUUGCCUUAGCUUUUGGUGAUUCAUCAUGAGAACAUAUUGUUUGAUAUUCAUCUUUUUCACUGAAUUUGCUCAAGACGAACUCUACUGUCUUGGUUGAUUAUUUUUCUUGUUGUGCAUAAUUGUAUCCAUUGUAAAGCCCUUUGGUCAAUGAUUGUUGUUUUUAAAUGUGCUCUAUAAUUAAAGUUGACUUGACUUUA